GCGGCCGCGGGAAAGGCGCCUAUCAGGAUCGCGACAAGCCAGCCCAGAUCCGCUUCAGCAACAUUUCCGCCGCCAAAGAAGCAGCCCAGUGGAGGUAUCCUUAUUUCUGUUUUUCUGCCGAUGAUCGCCAACCCGGAGUGUGGAGGCCUUUGGACUUGCCACAUUUUGCAUCUUAGUCUCCCAUAGUUUUUCAUCCUGCACAGUGCAUCAUUCAUAUUGGAGCCGAAAGCAGUUCAAAAUGCCGAGGAUUGCAUGCAGUCUUCACUAGGGAUCUGACGCUUGAGGGCUGUCGCUUAUUGGAACUGGUAGAAUGCACAGUAUCUUUCAGCUUUCUUAUUCUUAUUUAAAGAACUAUUAAAUAAGCUUCACUUGGCACAACUG
rnacentral:sRNA from 1 species